UCUCUGCUAGUAUAUCGGUUAGUACACGCGCCUGUCAUACAAAUGUAAAAGUUGACCUUACGCGCGAAAGCUGGGUUCGACUCCCAGGCAGAGAG